ensembl:lncRNA uncharacterized LOC110075063
UUCCAACUGAGCAUGAUACACUUCAUACUAUUACAAACUUACUCUUGCCUCAUUUGUCCUAAAUAAACAUCAGUUGUCCUUGUGCUUGUAUUUGUUGGGCAAAUUGCCAAAUCUGGGAAAUGCCGCUGCUUCCUCUGAUGCUGCCAUGCUGGCACACUUUCUUUUGGUGGGAAGGAAUGCUGCUGCUAUUUAAAGGAAGCACCUUCUAGGAGGUCCUGCUUUGAGGACCAAAGUUUGUGCCUGGAAUUUGAACUCCACUUGAAACUUGAUCCUGCGCCAAAGAAAAUAAAGACAAGAAAGUGAAACCAAUGGCUGUUUUUUUACGCAAACUGGAAUUUAACUUUCAUUUUAAAUGCGCUGUCGUCCGGAUUGGUUUUGUUGAAUGGGCACCGACGCUUCUGCUCUACAAGCGCAGCUCUCCCCAGCUAAAGAAACCCCGACCUGCGGGAGGGAGCCCGUCGUCCAGGUGAAAAAUGCUGUCUUUCUCGGGGAUGUGACCUGAGUUCUACUUUGAGUUCUUUGUGAGUCUUCCAGCCUGGAUGGUACUGCGGCAAUAUUUUAACAUUUUUCAGAUGGCAUUCCUCCACAUCUUUCCUCUGGUCUUGCUACUACUGAACACAUCAAAUUCUAUUCAGGCUGUGUCUUCUAGUUUCUCAUGUGAAUCAAAUGUUGCAGAACGUGGAAAAACUGCCAGCAUUAUCUGCAAGUACACUAAAGAUAUUAGAAAUGCAUCAGUGAAAUUCUGUUUUGCCAAUACUACCACCUGUCCUGAAAGAAGUGAACUCAACACAUAUAACAGAAAGUUAACCUCUGACCAUGGAAGAAUUUCACUGAAGUUGAAUCACUCCGCCAUCCUGAUUAUUAACAAAGUACAAAUAUUGGACCAAAGAAAUUACUAUUUUUUUCUUGAAGCUGAGAAUCAUUUUGGAAGAAAAUAUGUGUUUCUAAAAGUUGUUGCAACGUAUACUAACCCUCAAGUCAGAAGGCAGAAUGACACUCUUAUAUGUACAGCAACUGGAGGUUAUCCAGAAAAGUACCUCUAUUGGUUUGACAAGUACAAUACCAACCUGACCGAUAGAUCAAAAUUUGUGGCUGUGCCAAAUGCAGACGGCUCAUUCUCUCUCAAUAGUACUCUCCUGGUUGAUUCGUCUGACAGCAAAAUGGCAUACUGCUGUACUAUUAACAACACAAAUAGCUUUCAUGAACCUCAAGGUGGUUCUUGCAUCACAUUUGAAGACGCCACAACCAAUGAGUUGCGAUUAGAAAAGACAAACAAUUCCAUUCUGAUUGUAGUAAUUGUUCUUGUGGUACUCACUGUUAUUCUUCUGGCAUUGUUCUGGAGAAAGAAGAAAGAGAACAAAUUCCAGCAUAGUAUGAAUGGGGGGAAAUAGAUUUAACAGUCUCUCUCGGAUGGAUAUUGAUAAAUAUGGCCUUGGCAUAGGAUACUGACAUCCAGAACUGCAAUGCACAAGUAUAAGAUGGGGAAGAAUUUUGUCUGGCCAUCUACUUUCUAACUCCACUGCAUGUCCUUGUUCUUUUUUAAAAUUAUCAAGAAAAAAACUUUACGUUGAUUGAAAGAAACAGGCAGUUUAUCAGUGUUCGUGAAAAUCACAUUUCUUCAGGGCUUGGAAAAACUGGGUUGAACCUGAAUUUUCCUUAAACAACAGUUGUGGAUGCACUCCUUAUAUAGCACAAACUAGCCUUAUCAUAUGAUCCUUUUGGACUGUCCUUGUGAAUCAGUCCCUUAUGAAUCCAUAUCCCCAUCUGACAGACAGAAACCACUGUGACCUAUAACUACUGAAGGAUACCAAAUGUUAAUCUGAAGAGGCACCGUGAAUGUUUCGAGGGAGAGGAGCAAAUCUUCAAAUAAAAAAAAUGGCUCAGUUGCA